GUGCCAGCCGCAGCGGUAAUACGUAGGGGCAAGCGUUAUCCGGAAUUACUGGGUGUAAAGGGAGAGUAGGCGGUCAGGUAAGUAAGAUGUGAAAGCCCGCAGCUUAACUGCGGGAUUGCAUUUUAAACUAUCUGACUAGAGUACAGGAGAGGGAAGCGGAAUUCCUAGUGUAGCGGUGAAAUGCGUAGAUAUUAGGAAGAACACCAGUGGCGAAGGCGGCUUUCUGGACUGAAACUGACGCUGAGGCUCGAAAGCGUGGAGCAAACAGGAUUAGAUACCCUGGUAGUCCACGCUGUAACGAUGAGUGCUAGGUGUCGGGGGGAACCCGUCGGUGCCGC
rnacentral:rRNA from 1 species